rnacentral:rRNA from 1 species
UACGGAGGGUGCGAGCGUUAUCCGGAAUCACUGGGUUUAAAGGGUGCGUAGGCGGUUUGAUAAGUCAGUUGUGAAAUUCCUCGGCUUAACCGAGUGGACUGCGAUUGAUACUGUCAGACUUGAAUCAGGUUGAGGUAGGCGGAAUGUGACAUGUAGCGGUAAAAUGCUUAGAUAUGUCAUAGAACACCGAUUGCGAAGGCAGCUUGCUGGGCUUAGAUUGACGCUGAGGCACGAAAGCGUGGGGAGCAAACAGG